rnacentral:rRNA from 1 species
UAUUUAUUAGAUAAAAAACCAAUGCCCUUCGGGGCUCCUUGGUGAAUCAUAAUAACUUAACGAAUCGCAUGGCCUUGCGCCGGCGAUGGUUCAUUCAAAUUUCUGCCCUAUCAACUUUCGAUGGUAGGAUAGUGGCCUACCAUGGUAUCAACGGGUAACGGGGAAUUAGGGUUCGACUCCGGAGAGGGAGCCUGAGAAGCGGCUACCACAUCCAAGGAAGGCAGCAGGCGCGCAAAUUACCCAAUCCCGACACGGGGAGGUAGUGACAAUAAAUACUGAUACAGGGCUCUUUUGGGUCUUGUAAUUGGAAUGAGUACAAUUUAAAUCCCUUAACGAGGAACAAUUGGAGGGCAAGUCUGGUGCCAGCAGCCGCGGUAAUUCCAGCUCCAAUAGCGUAUAUUAAAGUUGUUGCAGUUAAAAAGCUCGUAGUUGAACCUUGGGCCUGGCUGGCCGGUCCGCCUCACCGCGUGUACUGGUCCGGCCGGGCCUUUCCUUCUGGGGAACCUCAUGCCCUUCACUGGGCGUGUUGGGGAACCAGGACUUUUACUUUGAAAAAAUUAGAGUGUUCAAAGCAGG